CCUACGGGCGGCUGCAGUGGGGAAUAUUGCACAAUGGGCGCAAGCCUGAUGCAGCCAUGCCGCGUGUGUGAAGAAGGCCUUCGGGUUGUAAAGCACUUUCAGCGGGGAGGAAGGCGUUAAGGUUAAUAACCUUGGCGAUUGACGUUACCCGCAGAAGAAGCACCGGCUAACUCCGUGCCAGCAGCCGCGGUAAUACGGAGGGUGCAAGCGUUAAUCGGAAUUACUGGGCGUAAAGCGCACGCAGGCGGUCUGUCAAGUCGGAUGUGAAAUCCCCGGGCUCAACCUGGGAACUGCAUUCGAAACUGGCAGGCUAGAGUCUUGUAGAGGGGGGUAGAAUUCCAGGCGUAGCGGUGAAAUGCGUAGAGAUCUGGAGGAAUACCGGUGGCGAAGGCGGCCCCCUGGACAAAGACUGACGCUCAGGUGCGAAAGCGUGGGGAGCAAACAGGAUUAGAUACCCCAGUAGUC
rnacentral:rRNA from 1 species